AACCCGGAAUGGGAGAAAUGAAGCAUCUCUGUGGUUAAAAGUGACAGUUUGACAGCCAGCCUAGAGUAGUCUGGGCUCUACACAUUGUUCAACCUCAUCAACUUUGACGGAAAAAAGUUUACUGAUGAACCCACUCCGGAGGCUAUCAACCAGUUCAGAGAACAUGCUAUAUGAAAUGAUGUCCAUCAAGGAGAACAAAGGGAAGGUACCAUCAAUCUUCGUCCACACUAUUGAGGACUAGACACCAAAGACAUUACCCGGCAUACUAAGAUGAUCCUUACUGUGCUGGGGUGGGCUGGAGUUGUUUUGUGUUGUUAGGACUAUCGUGCUGACCUGAAACUGUACGAUGUGUGCUUUGUAAUGUGAGAACCUGUCUCCCGGCCGAAUGAUCUUUUGAACCUACUGCUCCAAUUAUGUUUUAAGCCAAAUUCGGAUCAAGUUGAAUCCGCCAAGCCAUGUGAUGUUUUUAUUAUUUUGAAUGUCUUCAAGGGGAAUCACAUUUUUGUUAUUACAAGAAUGGGCUGAAUACUCAGCGUUUGGAUUA